rnacentral:lncRNA from 1 species
GGGGGUGGCAUCGCAGGCUGUGGGCUCUCCCGCCCCGUACCCCACUGCUUCGCUGGCCCCCAGUGCCUGGGACCGGGAUUUGGGGAAUGAGUGUGACCCGGGUUCAAACUGCCGAGUGUAAACAGGGCCGGCGGCAGGAACUGCAGCGUGACGGGGGCUCGACAGCUGGAAGCAGUUGGCGCAUAAAGGGCUUUGGAGAUAAGAGCCGCACAGCAGAUGUGGGCUCCUCCGGCCAGCGCCCUCUCACUGGUUCCCAUUAGCGAGCGCCUGGCAAGAGGCUGCAGGAUGCAAUCACGGGCCGGCUGGAAAGAGAAGCGAGGUCACCAUCCAAAUUCCUCUGGAUUCCAGGGCUGGGGGGUUUGUGGGGGUCUCUGUGUCACUUGGACUAAAGAGGAACUUGCCAACUGCCAACAAAGACAUGUUUGAUCCAGAGAGCUCCUCCCCAGCCUCAGUCGCUCCAGCGCUGCGACCCUGCCAGGAAGCCGUGAUCCUCAGUGACAUGACUGUCGUGCUACAGAGGCAGCUUGGUGGCUUCUUGGCAGAGUCAGACAGGAGGAGACGCAGUGGGAGGGAUGUAGCGUUUGCAUUAACAGGAGCAGGGCUGGCUCCCAGAAGGAGGGGCUCAGACUAGGCUCUGGAUCUAAACUCCCCCUCCCCCCGGACCCUGGCUCUGACCUUUCCAGCUUGGGCUCACCUCUAGGAAUUAACAGCCCGGUUACAGACAGCAGCAGCAGAUGAGCCAGGACAGGGCUGAUGGGGGCAGGCGAUGCGUGUGGGGAAAGCCCCUCUCUGCUGGCAGCAGGCUGGGGAAUUUCUGAGGCCUGCAAAGGACAAGACCAGGUUCCCAGGGGGCCCGGGAAGCAAGUGCCGAGGCGUAUGGACGGUGUGUGUGUCUGCAUCGAUUCUCUGUGUCUCCCGCUCCAGCCCGAAGCACCACACCGCCGACGGAACAAGCGGAGCGGAGAUUUACAGUGGCUGGCGCGACACGCCGACCCUUCCACUCCACUUGUACGGCAGCAUUUUCAUCGAUCUCUCGGAAA